rnacentral:rRNA from 1 species
AAUAGAUACCCUGGUAGUCCUAGCUGUAAACGAUGAGCACUGGGUUGAGGGGACUUCCACAUCCUCUCGGCCGUAGCGAAAGCGUUAAGUGCUCCGCCUGGGGAGUAUGGCCGCAAGGCUGAAACUCAAAGGAAUUGACGGGGGCUCACACAAGCGGUGGAGGAUGUGGCUUAAUUCGAGGCUACGCGAAGAACCUUAUCCUAGGCUUGACAUGGUUGAGAAUCUCCUUGAAAGAGGAGAGUGCCCUUCGGGGAGCUCUUUCACAGGUGCUGCAUGGCUGUCGUCAGCUCGUGUCGUGAGAUGUUGGGUUAAGUCCCUUAACGAGCGAAACCCUUAUCUUUAGUUGCCAGCGGGUAAUGCCGGGGACUCUAAAGAGACUGCCGGUGUCAAACCGGAGGAAGGUGGGGAUGACGUCAAGUCCUCAUGGCCUUUAUGUCUAGGGCUGCACACGUCCUACAAUGGUACGUACAAAGGGAAGCCAAGCCGCGAGGCCGCGCUAAUCCCAAAAGCGUGCCCCAGUUCGGAUUGCAGG